GUUAUUAACGUCCGUUAUAAACAACAAGGAGCAAGGAAGGAACUGGUGUUCAAUUUUUUAUUCUUCCAUAAUCAAGUUUUAUUUCGAAUUUGUCACUUUACGUGCUAUAUGCUGCUGUAUAACAAUUUCUAGUAGUCGCAGGAAGCUGAUGUGAUCCAAAUAUACAAGGAAAAUGAUGUUAUUCUUAGAAGUUCACAAGGCGAAUUCUUAAAAACUGUGUGUCUCCAGAUAAAACUGUUGAUCAUUCAAAGCAUGAAUUUUGGAUGCAUGUGGUAUUAUAUGAAAUAUGCAGUUGUGAAACAAUUUCCUGUAAUCAAAGGAAGUUGAUGUGGUUUGGAUGCAAGAAAUUUAAUGUUAUCCACAGAAUUUUACAAAGCAAAUACUGUAAACUCCCAAUUAUCAGCUGUUGGAUUAUCUGCAGAUUAUCCUCAUUUUUCCCUUAUCUGUGGUUACCGUGUCACCCUAUUCCAUGGAAAAUCAGGAGUUUAAUGUAGUCAAAAAAUGUAUGGCUGUAGAUGAAACAGGGAUCUUUACAGAAGCUAGAAUUAUGGUGCUGCAAAAACUAAGGUUGUAGGUGCUUUCACUUUAAAUAUGUGAAAUUUACCAAGGUAUGGCUUAAAAAUUACCUGUGAAAGAAAUGGAGGGUGGAAAAAACAAUUUGUCUUUUGA